rnacentral:rRNA from 1 species
CCUACGGGAGGCAGCAGUAAGGAAUAUUGGUCAAUGGACGGAAGUCUGAACCAGCCAUGCCGCGUGCAGGAUGACGGCCCUCUGGGUUGUAAACUGCUUUUUAUAGGGGACGAAAAAAGGGGAUUCUUCCUCACUUGACGGUACCCUAGGAAUAAGCACCGGCUAACUCCGUGCCAGCAGCCGCGGUAAUACGGAGGGUGCAAGCGUUAUCCGGAUUUACUGGGUUUAAAGGUGCGUAGGUGGGUCGGUAAGUCAGCGGUGAAAUCUUCGAGCUUAACUCGGAAACUGCCAUUGAUACUAUCGAUCUUGAAUCGUCUAGAGGUAAGCGGAAUAUGUCAUGUAGCGGUGAAAUGCUUAGAUAUGACAUAGAACACCAAUUGCGAAGGCAGCUUACUAUGGAUGUAUUGACACUGAGGCACGAAAGCGUGGGGAUCAAACAGGAUUAGAUACCCUGGUAGUCCACGCCCUAAACGAUGGAUACUCGACAUUUGAGAUAUACCUUUAAGGUUGUCUGUAGAGAAGACUAUUAAGUAUACCACCGUACGGAAGGUACGUAGUCGCGACGAGUUAGUAACGUAACGAAGUAAGUAGUAGUACGUAGUAGAGACGACGACGACGACGACGACGGAGGGAGGAG